GACGAACCGUCCAAACGUUAUUCGGAAUCACUGGGCUUAAAGGGUGCGUAGGCGGUUUCUUAAGUCUGAUGUGAAAGCCCUGGGCUCAACCCAGGAAGUGCAUUGGAUACUGGGAGACUUGAAUACGGGAGAGGGUAGUGGAAUUCCUAGUGUAGGAGUGAAAUCCGUAGAUAUUAGGAGGAACACCGGUGGCGAAGGCGGCAUCCUGGACCGACAUUGACGCUGAGGAGCGAAAGCUAGGGGAGCAAACGGG
rnacentral:rRNA from 1 species